rnacentral:rRNA from 1 species
UACAGAGGUCUCAAGCGUUUGUUCGGAUUCAUUGGGCGUAAAGGGGUGCGUAGGUGGCGCCGUAAGUCGGGUGUGAAAUUUCGGAGCUUAACUCCGAAACUGCAUUCGAUACUGCGGUGCUUGAGGACUGGAGAGGAGACUGGAAUUCAUGGUGCAGCAGUGAAAUGCGUAGAGAUCAUGAGGAAGACCAGUGGCGAAGGCGGGUCUCUGGACAGUUCCUGACACUGAGGAGCGAAGCGUGGGGAGCAAACAGG